rnacentral:rRNA from 1 species
GACGAACGCUGGCGGCGUGCCUAAUACAUGCAAGUAGAACGCUGAAGGAGGAGCUUGCUUCUCUGGAUGAGUUGCGAACGGGUGAGUAACGCGUAGGUAACCUGCCUGGUAGCGGGGGAUAACUAUUGGAAACGAUAGCUAAUACCGCGUAAUAGUAGAUGUUGCAUGACAUUUGCUUAAAAGGUGCAAUUGCAUCACUACCAGAUGGACCUGCGUUGUAUUAGCUAGUUGGUGGGGUAACGGCUCACCAAGGCGACGAUACAUAGCCGACCUGAGAGGGUGAUCGGCCACACUGGGACUGAGACACGGCCCAGACUCCUACGGGAGGCAGCAGUAGGGAAUCUUCGGCAAUGGACGGAAGUCUGACCGAGCAACGCCGCGUGAGUGAAGAAGGUUUUCGGAUCGUAAAGCUCUGUUGUAAGAGAAGAACGGGUGUGAGAGUGGAAAGUUCACACUGUGACGGUAUCUUACCAGAAAGGGACGGCUAACUACGUG